rnacentral:rRNA from 1 species
UACAGAGGUCUCAAGCGUUGUUCGGAUUCAUUGGGCGUAAAGGGUGCGUAGGCGGCAAGGCAAGUCAGGUGUGAAAUCCCGGAGCUCAACUCCAGAACUGCACUUGAUACUGCCCUGCUAGAGUACUGGAGAGGAGACUGGAAUUUACGGUGUAGCAGUGAAAUGCGUAGAUAUCGUAAGGAAGACCAGUGGCGAAGGCGAGUCUCUGGACAGUUACUGACGCUGAGGCACGAAGGCCAGGGGAGCAAACGGG